GGUCAUUGGGGUCUAUAAGGCUCCUUUGGGUUAAAGGGGUCAGUGGGGUCAAUGGGGAUCAUUGGGGUCAGUUGGAUUAUGGGGUUCAUGUGAGGUCACUGGGGUCACUGGGUCAAAAAGGUCAAUGGGGUCAGUGGGGUCAUUGGGGUAAUAGCAGGCCAGAAGGGUUUGGGCUUCCAAGCAAUCACCAAGCUUUUGGAUGAGCCAGCCCUCUGCUUUUUGUGAGGACAGACCCCAACGAGCCCACAGAACCCAAAUAACCUCCUUGACCCCCACAGACAAGUCCUCCUUGGAAAGCCAUCUCGGCAAGGGCAGAAUAGCGCUGUUCUUGGGCCGCAGCACUCCAUGGCCAGGCGCUGCUCAGACACUGGGGCUGCAUUUCCUCCUGGGCACCCACACAUGCUGCGAUUCCCCUGCAGGUUCCUGCCGGGUUUGUGGCUUCCUGCUGGGGAACUCCUCAUCUUCUUCUGUAAGUCGGGCUGCAGGUCCAACCACCUGCAAAGACCGAGGCAAAGCUCUCACUGAGCGCCUCAGCCUUUGCCAUGGCUGCCCACUGCCUUUCAUCCGAGGGAGCGCUCUCCUCGGCCCGUCUCCUCCUGCCUGUGGAGCUGCAGAUGAGGCUGCACGCGUCUUUGCACGUGCACUGCAGUGCAACGGGAUG
rnacentral:lncRNA from 1 species